AAGUCGUAACAAGGUUUCCGUAGGUGAACCUGCGGAAGGAUCAUUAAAAGUGAUUGGUUAUACAUUUCAUGUAUCAACUGCAUUAGCCAUCCCAUGCAGAUGAUACCCUUUGCCCUGGUUUGGCCUUUUCCCCAUUGGGGGCCUGACCUAGGUCACUCUUGCGAUGUGAAACCCAAGAGAGUCCCCAUGGGAGGUAAUCAUUAAAUUCAUGUAUCCAAUGUCUUCUGUCUGAACUGUUUAUAACAAAUAUUAAAA
rnacentral:misc_RNA from 1 species